AAAACCUACAACGAAUUGGACAGAAAUACAUAUUAUUAAUAAUUGUAGGUUAUGUAAUUUACACGUAAUAUACAUAUGUAGACCAGAGCAGAAGUCCUUUAAAGUGAAACAAGUUCGUAAUAGGUUAAAGCUCAUUGGAAAUGAUAGAUCAAAUACCAAAAUGAAAAUAAAAACUAUUUACUGUGGUCGCUAAGGUUUGAAUUUUUAGGGGUUAAAAACGGUUUAGCUCGACUUCCUGCAAAACCACGACGACUAUUUAAAACCGUAAAAUGAUAAAGUUUUAGACAAAAAACAAAUCGACAAAUUUUUUAUUAACACCUUUUGAAACAUUUUGAAUGGUCCGAUGUCCAGGACUAAACAAUAAACCUUCCAAUGAAGUUCAUGUAAAAGAUCAACGAAUUUUGGACCCCCUCUAUUUUUACAAAAAGAUACACAAAUAAGCAAAGAAAAAUGAGUUCAAGUGCAGGCGAACACUACAGGGUUUGUCCGGAAGUAUGCUACUUAUGCGUCGAUGCAGCGCUGCCAGCGCCAUGUAUUGAAGGGGUCACGUAAGGCAUUCUCCGGAAUAGCCUUGAGAGCCAAGGUACGUGCUUGGACCCCCUCUGUCGUCUCAAAAUGCUUGCUUUUCAUCGGCCUUUUCAGGCAAGGACACAAAAAUAUUGCGGCCUUGGUUAGGUAACUGUUCAUAAGAAAGGAGGUGUGAACCAGGCCGUUGUCGUGGUGCAACUUCCAAUCGGCUGCGAUGUCCUUUCCGACCCGAUUGACCCUUCGUUUGAGUCUCUUGAGAACUUCCACGUAAAACUGGACGUUGACAGUUUGUCAAGGAAGAACAAAUUCAUGGUGGACGAUGCCUUUGACGCCAAAACAACAGAGAGCAUCUCCCAACACAGUCUUCAUCAACGACUUCUUCUCGGCCUUCCAGAAAGGCCUAGUGCCACCGAAACACACCACUUCUUGCUAAAACAACAUCUGGCUUGCACCACUGACAGAAACACGUCGGGCGAACAUGUCUUGAGACAACUGACCAGCCGCUCGUUCGUUGCAGUCGCGGCGGCAGAAAAUCAGUACUAUUACUUUCCGGACAAACCCUGUAUAUACGGUACUCGAUCAAUAUUAUUCCAUGCGCAUCCCAAAAUACAGACGCCUUAACCUUGCCAGCCGACUUUUGCUUUUUUCCAUGCUUUGGGGCGGUUUCAUCGUGUGCAGUCCACUCCGAUGACUGUCGCUGGAUUUCGGAGUGAAAUUAUAGAGCCAAAUUUCAUCCAUUGUGACACUGCUCUGAAUAAUCAACUCGCCGUUGUUUUUGGUCAAAAGCGAGCUCGCGUGGCACUCACUUUACACAAAACAUUCUCACCAACUCUACCCAAAUAUUCGUCAAAGUCACACAAUCGCUGAGGUUUUCAUUAAUGGAUUCGGCCGGUGAAGGCAACUCUCCAUUUCAGCAAAAUCUUGUUAUUUUUAUUGAAACUUCUUCGAACGCGGUAUACAUACGUACACACAUACACAUCGUACACUGCUUUGCUUUGGACUUUUGUUGUCACCCACGAAAAGAUGCUGGUGAUUAAUGAAAAGAUACACACACACACCGACGGAGAAAGAGCUUUUCUUUAAAAAAAAGAUCCACCAGGACGAAACUGUUUAAAAUCACUUGAGAAAUAACAGUAAAACAAUUUAAAUGCACCGUGGACGCGUUCACGUUACACCGCUGCUGAAAUCGAGUUCUGCGCGAUUUGUGAACGGACGGACGUACA